GUGACAUUCACUGCUCUACAAGUCAACAGCGCCUAAUAAAAUGGCACACGACAGCAGCUGCGUCCUCGUGUGAAGGGGAAACUAAAGAGGGGCACGCGUGGUUAAGACGGUGAUACGCACAACUGCACGCUGCUGCAGUGUAGGAAUCACUGACGUAUGCAAUAGGAUGAGCUGUCCUGCUCGUCGAAUAUCUGCAAUAUGGACUCCACGUGAGGCUUUAGGUCCAUGAUGUUCUCCGUCACCUCUGCCAUGGCUGUGGGUAACACUGU